UACGGAGGGGGCUAGCGUUGUUCGGAAUUACUGGGCGUAAAGAGCUCGUAGGCGGUCUGUUACGUCUGCUGUGAAAACCCGGGGCUUAACCCUGGGCGUGCAGUGGAUACGGGCAGACUAGAGGCAGGUAGGGGAGAAUGGAAUUCCCGGUGUAGCGGUGAAAUGCGCAGAUAUCGGGAGGAACACCAGUGGCGAAGGCGGCUACCUGGCCCAAUACUGACACUCAGGUGCGACAGCGUGGGGAGCAAACAGG
rnacentral:rRNA from 1 species